GACAGAGGUCCCGAGCGUUAGGCGGAAUCACUGGGCUUAAAGCGUGUGUAGGCGGACUUCUAAGUACCUUGUGAAAUCCCACGGCUUAACCGUGGAACGGCUGGGUAUACUGGUUGUCUUGGGCCACUUAGGGGCUACUGGAACAAACGGUGGAGCGGUGAAAUGCGUAGAUAUCGUUUGGAACGCCAAUGGUGAAAACAAGUAGCUGGGAGUGUGCCGACGCUGAGACACGAAAGCCAGGGGAGCGAACGGGAU
rnacentral:rRNA from 1 species